UACGUAGGGGGCUAGCGUUGUCCGGAAUCAUUGGGCGUAAAGGGCGUGUAGGCGGCCCGGUAAGUCCGCUGUGAAAGUCGGGGGCUCAACCCUCGAAUGCCGGUGGAUACUGUCGGGCUAGAGUGCGGAAGAGGCGAGUGGAAUUCCUGGUGUAGCGGUGAAAUGCGCAGAUAUCAGGAGGAACACCGAUUGCGAAGGCAGCUCGCUGGGACGUAACUGACGCUGAGACGCGAAAGCGUGGGGAGCAAACAGG
rnacentral:rRNA from 1 species